CGACGUGAGGAACCUGCCUUUCAGAGGGGGACAACAGUUGGAAACGACUGCUAAUACCGCAUGAUGCAUUUGAAUCGCAUGGUUUGAAUGUCAAAGAUUUAUCGCUGGAAGAUGGCCUCGCGUCUGAUUAGCUAGUUGGUGAGGUAACGGCCCACCAAGGCGACGAUCAGUAGCCGGACUGAGAGGUUGGCCGGCCACAUUGGGACUGAGAUACGGCCCAGACUCCUACGGGAGGCAGCAG
rnacentral:rRNA from 1 species